rnacentral:rRNA from 1 species
UGGUGGAGUGAUUUGUCUGGUUAAUUCCGUUAACGAACGAGACCUCAGCCUGCUAAAUAGACGGCUGAACACUUGUGUUCAGUUCCGGACUUCUUAGAGGGACAUUCGGUAUCCAGCCGAAGGAAGUUUGAGGCAAUAACA